GAUGAACGCUGGCGGCGUGCCUAAUACAUGCAAGUAGAACGCUGAAGCUUGGUGCUUGCACCGAGCGGAUGAGUUGCGAACGGGUGAGUAACGCGUAGGUAACCUGCCUCUUAGCGGGGGAUAACUAUUGGAAACGAUAGCUAAUACCGCAUAAAAGUCGACAUUGCAUGAUGUUGACUUGAAAGGUGCAAUUGCAUCACUAAGAGAUGGACCUGCGUUGUAUUAGCUAGUUGGUGAGGUAACGGCUCACCAAGGCGACGAUACAUAGCCGACCUGAGAGGGUGAUCGGCCACACUGGGACUGAGACACGGCCCAGACUCCUACGGGAGGCAGCAGUAGGGAAUCUUCGGCAAUGGGGGCAACCCUGACCGAGCAACGCCGCGUGAGUGAAGAAGGUUUUCGGAUCGUAAAGCUCUGUUGUAAGAGAAGAGCGAGUGUGAGAGUGGAAAGUUCACACUGUGACGGUAACUUACCAGAAAGGGACGGCUAACUACGUGCCAGCAGCCGCGGUAAUACGUAGGUCCCGAGCGUUAUCCGGAUUUAUUGGGCGUAAAGCGAGCGCAGGCGGUUAGAUAAGUCUGAAGUUAAAGGCUGUGGCUUAACCAUAGUACGCUUUGGAAACUGUUUAACUUGAGUGCAGAAGGGGAGAGUGGAAUUCCAUGUGUAGCGGUGAAAUGCGUAGAUAUAUGGAGGAACACCGGUGGCGAAAGCGGCUCUCUGGUCUGUAACUGACGCUGAGGCUCGAAAGCGUGGGGAGCAAACAGG
rnacentral:rRNA from 1 species